rnacentral:misc_RNA from 1 species
ACCGAAGAUGGCGACUACCAGAUCAAACUGCGCAACAUGGUUCGCUUUCUGGAAGACGGUGACAAGGUUAAAGUCACGCUUCGUUUCCGCGGUCGUGAGAUGGCACACCAGGACAUUGGUAUGCGUCUCUUCCAACGAAUCGAAGAAGAUCUGGGUGACACCAUCAUUGUUGAAUCACGCCCUCGUUUAGAGGGACGUCAAAUGGUGAUGAUGCUGGCACCCAAGAAGAAAUGAUCCCCUGCCGCAUCGGGUGAUGCGGCCAGGUUCAGUUUUCGGGCCCGGAUCAUGCCCAAUCCCUUGCAACGCAUCUUUACUGAUGCA